ensembl:rRNA 5S_rRNA 5S ribosomal RNA
GAUCUCGUACAUACCACACACCUGAACUCAUCUGAUCUCGGAAGCUAAGCAGGGUCAGGCCUGGUUAAUACUUAGAUGGAAGACAUUGUCUUUCUAGAGAAAUUUUUGACCCAUGAAUCA